rnacentral:lncRNA from 1 species
GCAGCGGCUGUGCGGCUUUUAUGUUUUCCUGUUAGAGUUCUUUUUAACUUAAUUAAGGCUUUAAUAGGAGUUUUAUUUCCCUUAGAGGCUUAUUGUGAAGUUUAAAGUGGCCUUAGAAAUAAGUACCCCAAAUACCUGUUCCAUCAAACAUCUUUUUGAACUUCCUAUUUUACUCAGAGGAAUAUUGCUAAUCAGAUAUGUGAGCUCUUUUGGAUGAAUCUGAACUUCACUCAAGGUAACAACCCCGAAGACUUCUAUAGUGGUUAUUUUGGUGGUUUCUUUGAAGUCUCUUAAGAAGAGAUGGGAGCAAAAUGUGAGUGAAAAGGGUGCUGAACUGGUGGCAGCUGCAAAGCUUGGCUUUCUGAGAAAGGUGCUCUCAUUUGAAGGCACCCUCAGCAUCUCUUCAGCUAGCGCCUGCCUUGCUGGCGGGCUGAACCCCAGGAAACACGCUGCACUCUCUGAGCACCUUGGAAAUUAAAGAAUUGCCAGCUUUUCUGCUUUGGGACAAAAAACAUUUGUGCUAAACAGCCGGAGAGGUGCUUUGAACAGAUACUCCCUGGAGACAGCGUGCUACCGUGGAAAUACGCAAGGCUUUGAAGUCAGAGUCACUGAGGCUCCAAACUCCCCCAGUUGUAUGACCUUGGACAAGUUGCUUAAUGUUUCUUGCCUUCGGUUUAUUUAACUCUAAAAUGGGGAGAAGGAAACCCACAUGGGAGGUCUGUG